rnacentral:rRNA from 1 species
UACGUAGGGUGCGAGCGUUGUCCGGAAUUAUUGGGCGUAAAGAGCUCGUAGGCGGUUUGUCACGUCUGCUGUGAAAUCCCGAGGCUCAACCUCGGGUCUGCAGUCGAUACGGGCAAACUAGAGUAUUGCAGGGGAGACUGGAAUUCCUGGUGUAGCGGUGAAAUGCGCAGAUAUCAGGAGGAACACCGGUGGCGAAGGCGGGUCUCUGGGCAAUAACUGACGCUGAGGAGCGAAAGCGUGGGGAGCGAACAGG